GGCCAGUGUGGUGUAAUGGUUUGAGCACUGGCUACAACCCUGGAGUCCAGGGUUCGAUUCCCCACUUGGCCA